CCGUUAACCCGUAACCAUUCGAUCCAUUCAAUGAUUCACUGCCCUGUUCGUCCGCAAGCGUGGGUCGCCGCCGCCGGAGACCCCCUCCUCCUCCCGUCGCUCCUUGCCUCUCCUCCCCACCGUAUCUCACAUUCUCCCUCCCUACCGUACAAUCUGACACCCCUGGUCCCCUGCGCCGUCAUCGCUCUCUCCGUCACCACUCGCAGCGGCUACCGCGCGGCACGGCUGCUGCAUAGUGAUUGAGCUCGUCACGGGGAGCGGCGGAGAACCAGGAGGGAAGCAGCGGCCGGCGGUGCGCCAGUGGUGAGCCACACUAGGGGCGGCCCGUCAGUCACAGCUUGGUUUGAGAUUAUCAGCCCUCGUUGGUCUUCUGCUCGAUGAAAUGCCACCAACAACUGACUCUGCCGAUUGUUGAGCUCAUGCUCUCUGCCUCCUCCUUUGCCGAGAAUUAGCACUCAGUGGCAGCAUCACCUGAUGUUGGUAGAUUGCUCGAUUUUUCUUCCUUGUGCAGUAACUAUCAAUCAACCAAUAAGAUUGCUACCGUCCCGGUAUGCUGUUACAGGAGUUGCAGGAACAGAAGCAUCACACGGGCCAUUCAGUUAAGCAUCAGGAUUGUUGUAUAAUUCCAGCGAAAGGCAUACAAACCCGCUAAGAGAGGUAACUGCCACAUGAAGGAGCAAUCUUUUUUUGUCAAGUUCAAUGGAAUAUUUGCUGAUCUACGCCUUCAUUCGACAAUGUGGAUAUGGCACAUUCUAACUAACUUCUGUUUCUUUCGGUGUAUAUACGGUAGAAGUUGUUUAAUCGACACUAGAUCUUUGGAAAACAGACUUCUGAUGUGCUUUAGUGCACAAAGUGUAGACCAUAUGUUCUUGAUGUACCUCCUCCAGUUCACAUGUUAAAAUACCAGACAAUACAUGCCACGGUGAAGCGUGCAGUAGUCAUGAAGUAAA